rnacentral:rRNA from 1 species
AGUGCUCAGAACGAACGCUGGCGGCAUGCCUAACACAUGCAAGUCGAACGUAGACCUUCGGGUCGUAGUGGCGCACGGGUGCGUAACGCGUGGGAAUCUGCCCUUAGGUUCGGUAAUAACUUCGGGAAACUGAAGCUAAUACCGGAUGAUGACGUAAGUCCAAAGAUUAUCGCCUAAGGAUGAGCCCGCGUAGGAUUAGCUAGUUGGUGAGGUAAAGGCUCACCAAGGCGACGAUCCUUAGCUGGUCUGAGAGGAUGAUCAGCCACACUGGGACUGAGACACGGCCCAGACUCCUACGGGAGGCAGCAGUGGGGAAUAUUGGACAAUGGGCGAAAGCCUGAUCCAGCAAUGCCGCGUGAGUGAUGAAGGCCUUAGGGUUGUAAAGCUCUUUUACCCGGGAUGAUAAUGACAGUACCGGGAGAAUAAGCUCCGGCUAACUCCGUG